CUCAGCGUGUGCUAUUAUACUUGUUAUGUCUAAGAAUAUUGCAGAGAGCAAGUGUAGUGUUGGAGGAUAACAGCAAUCCCACCAAGUUCGAUCUAUGAGAGGUUUGUGUGGUCCUGAUUUCGGAGCACCUUUUGCGUUGACCGCUCCUUUGAAAACCCAAAAUGUGAGUGAGUUUGUAGGACCGCUGAAAGACGAGGGUUCCAACAGUUGACACUUCGAUGUCUAGGAAGCAGCUGGUUGCUGAACAGAGAAAAUAUGCUUCCCUCAUAUUUUUGCAUCCAGAGGAGGAGUUUGAUGAGGUUUGUGUGGGUUACGUUGACAGAGAUAGUGUUCUGCUGAGGAAGUGGCGUUCCCCUCUUCUGGGCAAGACGAUUGGCCCAGUGGAUCUCAAAUUCUAGUUACGCUUCGACAAGAGAUGGCGUCUUGGGGUUAACAAGACGAAUGACCGUAUCUUGGUUAAUUUCUGGUCUGGAACAUGAUAUUGUGGUUUACUGUGAAUCCUGUCACGUUUGCCAGGUGAUGGGUAAACCGAACAGUGCCAGUUCACCUUUGCACCUCUGGUUUUGACUAACCUUUCAGCAGGUUUAUUGGUUCUUUGCCCAAAACAACGAGUGGUAACCAUGUGUGCUGCGACUUGUUUCCCUGAGGUUAUUCCACUGAAGAAAAUCCCAAGGAAAGUUACUACGGAUAUUGCCGGAGUUUCCCCUUGAAAUCAGACAUGUCCAUGUUUAGGCUAGAGAUAUGUCAGCCUGCCGCAUCUGCAGUGGAAGGUGGCCGAGCUCCAGAGGUGUUUGUCAGACCAUGAGACGUCCUGAAAUCGAUUCUUCUCACAGAAAUGUGUCACGGGACUCGUCUGAAGGCAACCCAUACAAACAAAGAAGUAUGGAGGUAGUUGUGCCAACAAAAAUAAGGGGUUAAAUGUGUCCAAAAUAAAUAAAUGAUCCAUGUUAUCACCAUCUUAAAACAAUUAAACAUGUUAGCUUAGACCCCACCCCCAUCUAUUUUGGACAUAGUGUGUUCGGAAAGUAUUCAGACCCCUUGACUUUUUCCACAUUUUGUUACAUUACAGCCUUAUUCUAAAAUGGUUCAUUUUUUCCCCCCUCAUCAAUCUACACACAAUACCUGAUAAUGACAAUGCAAAAACUGUUUUUAUAAUUUUCUUUCAAAUGUAUCAACAAAAAUAAAGAUAUUUACAUAAAUAUUCAGACCUUUAACUCGGUACUUUGUUGGAGCACCUUUGGCAGCGAUUACAGCCUCGACUCUUCUUGGGGAUGACGCUACAAGCUUCACAUAGCUGGAGGGCAAACUACCUGCCCUCCAGGACACCUACACCACCCGAUGUCACAGGAAGGCCAUAAAGAUCAUCAAGGACAACAACCACCCGAGCCACUGCCUGUUCACCCCGCUAUCAUCCAGAAGGCGAGGUCAGUACAGGUGCAUCAAAGCUGGGACCGAGAGACUGAAAAACAGCUUCUAUCUCAAGGCCAUCAGACUGUUAAACAGCCACCACUAACAUUGAGUGGCUACUGCCAACACACUGACUCUACUCCAGCCACUUUAAUCAUGGGAAUUGAUGUAAAAUAUAUCACUAGCCACUUUAAACAAUGCCAGAAUCUCUAGUGGCACAGCUAGCACUGCGAUGCAGUGCCUUAGAC
ensembl:lncRNA